rnacentral:lncRNA from 1 species
NNNNNNNNNNNNNNNNNNNNNNNNNNNNNNNGGGCGUGGGGGGGGGGGCGGUUGCCAUGGAGCAUUUCCCGUAGGUGGCUAUUAUGGGAUGGACUCGCCUUUGUGGACUAUUAUGGGAUGCGUCCGUUGCCGCAGGGUGGGGCUGCCCAGGAGGGCUGCGGGGGGCGCGGGGCGCUGCCCGGCGAGGACGGACCCCGGCCGGGAACGUGGGCGCCGCCUCGGGGCAGCCCUCGGGCACCCCGCCUCCAGGGGCGCCUUGUGCCUCCUGCAGCUGGGGAGGGUGAGAAGGAGGGGGCAGCCCUUCACGACGACGGGACGUCGCGCGAAAGGAGAUCGGUGCUUAAGCGCCGAGCCCAGUACGUCCGUCUUGAAGCGGAGAACUCGCAGUCCGCGUGUCGCAAAGCUAGCGGCCGGCGACUUUGCAAGCGAGCCGUGCUUGCGCGUGCUGCGGGGCAGGACCCUCCCUGGGCAGCACCCUUGCCUUGGAGCACCGCUCGUCCGCGGUCGUGGAUGUCGCUGCCUGCCACGCUACGGGAGCGGUGCUCUCCCGGCACUCCGUGGCUGCGCAGAGCUCUGGAUGCCUUUGAGCUGAACGUGGCUCGCAGCAUCACUCGGAGUCGCAGCGGCUCGGUGUCGAUGAGAAUCGCAGGGAAAUGUAAUGCCUCUCCCCGCCAUCGGGCUUUGAGUCCCUCACGUCCUUCCCUCAAACCGGCCCGAGCUCUGCUGGCUGUGGGGCUCGCGCUGAGUCCUGUGGGUCUGCAUCCUCCGGGCUCACCUGCACCGCUCCCAGCUGCACGGAGCUGGGCUUUGACAGCGCGUGUGAACUUCCAUACAGGGCACGGAAACGGGUAUCUCAGAACUGCGGUCCAGGUAGCUCUGAGCAGCAGGCCAGUGCUGCGGUCCCACUGAGACCGUCCUUGCGUGUUCUCCCAGUGGGUCCUACUCUUUGCUUCAGGAAGAGCUGAGUGGGGCCUCCACGUAAGGCGUUUUAGGGAAAUGGGCACGUAAGACUGAUAUUAAUAAGCGGCUUUG